UGUUUUUAGUAAGACUUUUAUUUUAAAAAUUUUCAAAAUAUAAAAAUAAUAAACAAUAUGGAUUUAACAAAACAUAAUUCAACUAUAAAUAAUAAAAAUGUUGACAACCCCACAUAAACAUUUAACACUAUAAACAUUCUAAGCAUACAAGAGUAGUAUUCUAGUUCAAGUUUUAUCUUUUUUCAGUUCAAGUUUUAUUAUUACUUUAAAAAAAUAAACAAAAAAGCUGCUACAGCUUAACCAAUUGCUUUCGCUCCACUCAAAGAGCAGGGAAAUUUUUUCCCCAUGCCAACACACAUUCAUGAAAUGGGAUACUUAUGGGCACAGGUAUUUAAAACUGGAACAAUCCAGUCUCCAGACAAGAAGACUCCUUUGGUGUUUUUCAAUUCAACAGUCCACCGAAAUUGAGUUUAAAUAAACCACUUAUUAGAAGAAAUCUUGUGCCAGACAAUAUGUUCUGAAGUAGCAUCAUACCCAAAACAGGUUUAGCCUUCUGAGAAUGAAAAGCAGGCAUCCAUGAAUGCUUUGCUGAUACUUAAAACAUUCUAUCAUAUGAACAUUCAUUAAGGUGCUGGAAGGAAAUCUUGGGACAAAACAAAAAAAUCGACACAUCAAUGCAAAACAUGUUUAACUUUUUAAUUCAUUUUCAUUUUAAAUUGCUCAUGCUAAUGAACACAGUAGUAUGGCUUUACAGAUUUCCUAGACACAAUCCUCAAUUUGGCUCAGACUUGAAUAUACGUCAUCCAAGAGAACUUUUUCGUUCCUUCUUAAGGUGUUUAAAAAAUAAAUGGCUAUAAAGUAUGGGGAGAAAACAUUUAAGAAUAAGGUCAGAGCACACAUUCAGAUACACUUUGGACUCAGAUGUACUCUUAGAGAACUGUAGAGAUAAAAUGCUAAUUAUAGUACAUGUAAACAUCUGUUCAAAUUGAUAAAGAGUGAACAUAAAAUAAUAGGAUGAUAUUAUUGUAACAGUCGUCUCCAGACAGGAACUGGUCUUGCUCUUGCAGUCACAAAGCUAAAUUCAGGCAAUGAUGAUCUCUCUCUGCUGGA
rnacentral:lncRNA from 1 species